AUUGAACGCUGGCGGCAGGCCUAACACAUGCAAGUCGAACGGUAACAGGGAUCAGCUUGCUGAUUCGCUGACGAGUGGCGGACGGGCGGGUAAUGUCUGGGAAACUGCCUGAUGGAGGGGGAUAACUACUGGAAACGGUAGCUAAUACCGCAUAACGUCGCAAGACCAAAGAGGGGGACCUUCGGGCCUCUUGCCAUCGGAUGUGCCCAGAUGGGAUUAGCUAGUAGGUGGGGUAACGGCUCACCUAGGCGACGAUCCCUAGCUGGUCUGAGAGGAUGACCAGCCACACUGGAACUGAGACACGGUCCAGACUCCUACGGGAGGCAGCAGUGGGGAAUAUUGCACAAUGGGCGCAAGCCUGAUGCAGCCAUGCCGCGUGUAUGAAGAAGGCCUUCGGGUUGUAAAGUACUUUCAGCGGGGAGGAAGGGAGUAAAGUUAAUACCUUUGCUCAUUGACGUUACCCGCAGAAGAAGCACCGGCUAACUCCGUG
rnacentral:rRNA from 1 species